rnacentral:misc_RNA from 1 species
UGAGCAGUAGAGUGUUACUUGUUCUUCAAGAUUCUGCGCUCAAAACUCGUCGAAUGGCUAUUUAUUUCAGUUUUAUUGAUACAGUUAGUAAAAGAAUGAUGUGCUACGAUAAUAUCUAAUGAGAUUACUCCAGCCUAGAUCAUGGAACUCAAUUUUAAUACACUUAAGGAUCACUGUGCAUCUAAACAAACCAUUAAGGGCAGAUAUCAAUACUAUUUUCUGACCGGGGAGCAGCUCUACAUCACAAGUGAAGAUAUGGAUCGGUGAAUGUGGUAUGAGACAUCUCCUAUAUAUAUAUAUAUUAAUAGUAAAUUAGGAUAGACUUCUAACACUCCCCAAUAACACAGAUGGCUAGGGCUGGGAUGUUUAUGGUGGUACUAUUAUGACACAGUCCAUCCUGACCCUUUCGGCAGUGCCAUGUUCUAUCCGGUUGGUUCUGAGUCCAAUGGGUGCUUUCAAGUUAGAGUCAACUGACCUGCAGAUCGCAUUUCCGCGUGCCAACAACUGGACGAACAUGUGCUACUGUUUGAUUGUGGUUUAUGGAUGGCUGUGGAGUGAGACAAUCACCAUGAAUAGGGUUUGAGUUGUUAGGGUCUCUGUAGGAUAUUUGCAGUUGUCAGUCGAGUGUUUCAUUUCUUAUCAGUGCCCUUUGUGGUGGUCCCACAGCUUUUUCAUAAUGGUAGCGGGCUCAGUACAGCACUAAUUUGAUGAGCAGGUGGUACUGUUACACUGUGGCCUGGUCUGAUCUGUUCUAUGAGACUGGCGAUGCAAAUAUUAGAUUGUAGUGCCUUCAGCAAACUUAGGAAAGGGGGGAUGAGAAUUAUUUGAGUUAAGAAUUAGGAUUAAAGUGAUCUAAGUUUAGAUUAGAGACUGAAGUUAUAUUGGUAGAGUCUAGCCUCUAGCCUUUGCUAGUUGGCGGGGUUAAGCCUCUAGCCUUUGCUAGUUGGCGGGGUGAAGCCUCUAGCCUUUGCUAGUUGGCGGGGUGAAGCCUCUAGCCUUUGCUAGUUGGCGGUGUUAAGCCUCUAGCCUUUGCUAGUUGCUAUAAUAAGUCAAGAAUUAGAAUUAAGAAAUUAGUUAUCUAAGUUUAGAUUUAAGACUGAAGUAAUAUUGGUAAAGUAUAGCCUCUAGCCUUUGCUAGUUGGCGGGGAUCAGGAAGUAUUGCCUCUAGCCUUUGCUAGUUGGCGGGGAUCAGGAAGUAUUGCCUCUAGCCUUUGCUAGUUGGCGGGGAUCAGGAAGUAUUGCCUCUAGCCUUUGCUAGUUGGCGGGGAUCAGGAAGAAUUGCCUCUAGCCUUUGCUAGUUGGCGGGGAUGAGGAAGUAUUGCCUCUAGCCUUUGCUAGUUGCUACAAUUGGUCAAGCAUUAGAAUUAAGAAAUUAGUAAUCUAAGUUAGAUUUAAGACUGAAGUAAUAUUGGUAAAGUGUAGCCUCUAGCCUUUGCUAGUUGGCGGGGAUCAGGAAGUAUUGCCUCUAGCCUUUGCUAGUUGGCGGGGUUAAGCCUCUAGCCUUUGCUAGUUGG